UACGUAGGGCGCGAGCGUUGUCCGGAAUUAUUGGGCGUAAAGAGCUCGUAGGCGGCCUGUCGCGUCCGCUGUGAAAUCCCGGGGGCUUAACCCCCGGGCCUGCAGUCGAUACGGGCGGACUGGAGUUCGGCAGGGGAGACUGGAAUUCCUGGUGUAGCGGUGAAAUGCGCAGAUAUCAGGAGGAACACCGGUGGCGAAGGCGGGUCUCUGGGCCGAUACUGACGCUGAGGAGCGAAAGCGUGGGGAGCGAACAGG
rnacentral:rRNA from 1 species